CCCAAAGACUUUUAAGCCCUGCCUCCUACAACAUUGCUUUGAGUCAGUGUGAGAAGCAAAUGUACCAACAAAACAGAGCUCCAACGGGGUCUUCUAUCAAGGUUUUAUUAAAAAUGAGCCCCUGCCAAGGGGCCAGUUGAGUUUCUGGACCACUGUGACAAGGCCUGGGGUGUUAGCUUUUUGGAGAACUGCUGGCUAGCCUCCAAGGGCCAGCUGGGCUCUCACAGCCUCCAGGAGGCUUAAGAACCAGGGAGCAUGGGCCACUCCUUCCUCUGGCUUCUUAUGCCACAUCAAAUCAAAGGCCACACACUGAGCCCUUCCCGUGUGCCAUGCCUGUGCUGGGCACAUCACCUUGGUCGUCUCCUGCUGUACAACAGCCCUGUGAGGCAGGUGGCAUUGUUACUCCCAUUUUCCAGAUGCGAAUGUCAAGGCUCAAAAAGGUUACGUCGAUGGCCCAGAUUCAGAUGGCUGGAAAGUCAGUGGAGGAGCUGGGGUUCCAAGUGACUUCCUGGACCCUGGCUCCCCGUGGUCUGGCCCACAUGUGCCACAUCCAGUCUACCUGCGAUUCUUAGGUCAUCAGAGGUGCGUUUUUCUUGUGGCUGGGCUGACAAUGAGAUUUCAGUCUGUCUCUCCCCACCCUCUACUCCCCUUCCCUGCCACCUCCCUCCACUUCUGGUCCCCUGUCCGUAAAUCAGUAAGAGUUCCGUGAGUGAACGAUGCCAAGACCCAGGUGACUCUGACUUGAGUGUGUCUCUCUCUACGCAGGGAACACGGUGGCCUUCUGCGUCAGGUGUGAGCCUCUCACUGUCUCCUGGAAUCUGGAGGCUGAGCACGGGGCCCCGUUGCAGUGUGUUGAGACCUGGCUUCUGUACAGCCCCACGCAUGUGGCUUUUGCUUUCCCUGGCACGUCCCAUAAAGUGGCCGUGACCUUGGCCUGUUCACCCAGAGUCUCAAAAACCAGAAAGUUCAGACCAUUCUUCUUUGGAACCCUGAGACAGACGGGAGAAGUGAGAAUGAGAAGUGAGUGAGCAGAAGAGACAGGUGAAACGGGAGAUUUCAACAAAUGCAACGAGGACACAACUAAAAAAUACAGAGAGCCCAGCGAGUCGGCCACUGCCUCCUGACGACACCUCUUGGGGUCAGCUCUGGUCUGAGCAUCUUUGGAACAUGGCGUGCUUUCAUAGAGGAGGCCCCUCUCCUGGCCAGAGGCUCUGUGGUGACGGCGGAUGGGGAAGUGUGGACGUGGAGCGUGGCCCACUUACAGAUGAAACAGGUGGGGGGCUUGGAGCCUCUGGGGUCAGUCCGGGAUAUCUUGCAGAAGAGUCUCCCCAUUAUGGUCAAAAGGGUCUGUGGCCUUCGGGGACAGUCCGGUGGGGUGGGAAGA